rnacentral:rRNA from 1 species
AGAGUUUGAUCCUGGCUCAGGACGAACGCUGGCGGCGUGCUUAACACAUGCAAGUCGAACGGUGAAGGGACCAGCUUGCUGGUUCUGGAUGAGUGGCGAACGGGUGAGUAACACGUGAGUAACCUGCCCCCUUCUUCUGGAUAACCGCAUGAAAGUGUGGCUAAUACGGGAUAUUCUGGGUCUGUCGCAUGACGGGCCCGGGAAAGAUGCGCCUUUGGGUGUUUUUGGUGGGGGAUGGGCUCGCGGCCUAUCAGCUUGUUGGUGGGGUGAUGGCCUACCAAGGCGGUGACGGGUAGCCGGCCUGAGAGGGUGGACGGUCACACUGGGACUGAGACACGGCCCAGACUCCUACGGGAGGCAGCAGUGGGGAAUAUUGCACAAUGGGCGCAAGCCUGAUGCAGCGACGCCGCGUGAGGGAUGGAGGCCUUCGGGUUGUAAACCUCUUUCGCCAGUGAAGCAGGCCUGCUCCUUGUGGGUGGGUUGACGGUAGCUGGAUAAGAAGCGCCGGCUAACUACGUGCCAGCAGCCGCGGUAAUACGUAGGGCGCGAGCGUUGUCCGGAAUUAUUGGGCGUAAAGAGCUCGUAGGCGGCUGGUCGCGUCUGUCGUGAAAUCCUCUGGCUUAACUGGGGGCUUGCGGUGGGUACGGGCCGGCUUGAGUGCGGUAGGGGAGACUGGAACUCCUGGUGUAGCGGUGGAAUGCGCAGAUAUCAGGAAGAACACCGGUGGCGAAGGCGGGUCUCUGGGCCGUUACUGACGCUGAGGAGCGAAAGCGUGGGGAGCGAACAGGAUUAGAUACCCUGGUAGUCCACGCCGUAAACGUUGGGCACUAGGUGUGGGGGGCCUUUUCCGGGUUUUCCGCGCCGUAGCUAACGCAUUAAGUGCCCCGCCUGGGGAGUACGGCCGCAAGGCUAAAACUCAAAGGAAUUGACGGGGGC